rnacentral:tRNA from 1 species
UUAGAAAUAGUUUAAAAAAAAUAUUAACUUUGGGAGUUAGUGAUCAAAGACUUCUUUGUUUCUAAA